rnacentral:rRNA from 1 species
GGUUCCUGUCCAACGUUAAUCGGGGCAGGGUGAGUCGACCCCUAAGGCGAGGCCGAAAGGCGUAGUCGAUGGGAAACAGGUUAAUAUUCCUGUGCUUGGUGUUACUGCGAAGGGGGGACGGAGAAGGCUAUGUUGGCCGGGCGACGGUUGUCCCGGUUUAAGCGUGUAGGCUGGUUUUCCAGGCAAAUCCGGAAAAUCAAGGCUGAGGCGUGAUGACGAGGCACUACGGUGCUGAAGCAACAAAUGCCCUGCUUCCAGGAAAAGCCUCUAAGCAUCAGGUAACAUCAAAUCGUACCCCAAACCGACACAGGUGGUCAGGUAGAGAAUACCAAGGCGCUUGAGAGAACUCGGGUGAAGGAACUAGGCAAAAUGGUGCCGUAACUUCGGGAGAAGGCACGCUGAUAUGUAGGUGAAGUCCCUCGCGGAUGGAGCUGAAAUCAGUCGAAGAUACCAGCUGGCUGCAACUGUUUAUUAAAAACACAGCACUGUGCAAACACGAAAGUGGACGUAUACGGUGUGACGCCUGCCCGGUGCCGGAAGGUUAAUUGAUGGGGUCAGCGCAAGCGAAGCUCUUGAUCGAAGCCCCGGUAAACGGCGGCCGUAACUAUAACGGUCCUAAGGUAGCGAAAUUCCUUGUCGGGUAAGUUCCGACCUGCACGAAUGGCGUAAUGAUGGCCAGGCUGUCUCCACCCGAGACUCAGUGAAAUUGAACUCGCUGUGAAGAUGCAGUGUACCCGCGGCAAGACGGAAAGACCCCGUGAACCUUUACUAUAGCUUGACACUGAACAUUGAGCCUUGAUGUGUAGGAUAGGUGGGAGGCUUUGAAGUGUGGACGCCAGUCUGCAUGGAGCCGACCUUGAAAUACCACCCUUUAAUGUUUGAUGUUCUAACGUGGACCCGUAAUCCGGGUUGCGGACAGUGUCUGGUGGGUAGUUUGACUGGGGCGGUCUCCUCCUAAAGAGUAACGGAGGAGCACGAAGGUUGGCUAAUCCUGGUCGGACAUCAGGAGGUUAGUGCAAUGGCAUAAGCCAGCUUGACUGCGAGCGUGACGGCGCGAGCAGGUGCGAAAGCAGGUCAUAGUGAUCCGGUGGUUCUGAAUGGAAGGGCCAUCGCUCAACGGAUAAAAGGUACUCCGGGGAUAACAGGCUGAUACCGCCCAAGAGUUCAUAUCGACGGCGGUGUUUGGCACCUCGAUGUCGGCUCAUCACAUCCUGGGGCUGAAGUAGGUCCCAAGGGUAUGGCUGUUCGCCAUUUAAAGUGGUACGCGAGCUGGGUUUAGAACGUCGUGAGACAGUUCGGUCCCUAUCUGCCGUGGGCGCUGGAGAACUGAGGGGGGCUGCUCCUAGUACGAGAGGACCGGAGUGGACGCAUCACUGGUGUUCGGGUUGUCAUGCCAAUGGCACUGCCCGGUAGCUAAAUGCGGAAGAGAUAAGUGCUGAAAGCAUCUAAGCACGAAACUUGCCCCGAGAUGAGUUCUCCCUGACUCCUUGAGAGUCCUGAAGGAACGUUGAAGACGACGACGUUGAUAGGCCGGGUGUGUAAGCGCAGCGAUGCGUUGAGCUAACCGGUACUAAUGAACCGUGAGG